GUUGAGCUCUAUCCCAAUAGGGCUUCUCUUAUAGCUUCACAUCGUUGGAAACGCCUCAUACAGAAACUCUGUGGUUUUGCUUUACUCACAGGACUAUUUCUUAGGUCUGUGGGGAGAAGCUACAGGACAGCU
ensembl:snoRNA